rnacentral:rRNA from 1 species
GACGAAGGAUGCAAGCGUUAUCCGGAUUCAUUGGGUUUAAAGGGCGCGUAGGUGGCCUUAUAAGUCAGUGGUGAAAUCUCUGGGCUUAACCCAGAAAUUGCCAUUGAUACUGUAGGGCUUGAGUACAGUUGCUGUGGGCGGAAUAUGACAUGUAGUGGUGAAAUACAUAGAGAUGUCAUAGAACACCGAUUGCGAAGGCAGCUCACAAAACUGUAACUGACACUGAGGCUCGAAAGUGCGGGGAGCAAACAGG